rnacentral:rRNA from 1 species
UACAGAGGUCCCAAGCGUUGUUCGGAUUCACUGGGCGUAAAGGGUGCGUAGGUGGUGAGGUAAGUCGGAUGUGAAAUCUCCGAGCUCAACUCGGAAAUGGCAUUGGAAACUACCUUGCUAGAGGGUUGGAGGGGGGACUGGAAUUCUCGGUGUAGCAGUGAAAUGCGUAGAUAUCGAGAAGAACACUUAGGGCGUAGGCAAGACUCUGGACAAAUGCUGACGCUCAUGCACGAAGGCUAGGGUAGCGAACGGG